AGACUUGGAAACUAGGGUGAGCUAAGCUGAGAUCAGAAAGAUAAGAACCUCACCAGACUAGGGUGUGGGCACAGGCAGGGGCCAGUGAACAGCAUAUGUAAGAGUCCUGAGGCAGAGCUGAAUUGGAGGACCAGAAAGAAGGCCAGCGUGAGUGGAGUCCCAAGGGAGGAGACAGAGAAGUGGCCAGGGCCAGCCCAGCCUGGAUGGCAAAAGCGACAGACCCUCCCUCAGAGGGACAAGGAUGAGACGGCCGAACCAGUGCUCCUGCCCGGGCUCCACAGGCCCCUUUCCUCGCUGGCCCCACUGGAGAGGCAGGGGUUAAGCUCCAUGGCCUGUCCCCUCUGUCACACAUGUACCCUGCCAUCUCUGGGCUCAACUGUCGCUGCGCUGUAUCGGGACUCCAUCAGAGAGGCUCAGGCAGCAGCUUGCAGUGUUCAGGCCGGCGGUCUCGAGGGUGGCGAGUUCUUGCACUCCUACAACAGCGCUUGAGGACGGCUCUGUCCGCUGGCCUAUGCUGCAGCCUCCUCCUGCCCCUGCGGCAGAGGAGGGAGAGCCGUGGGCACAGCUAGCACUAGCACGUGUGGGUUCAGAGGUCUGAGCGGCCACUUCCCGCUUCCAGACCUCGGAUGCGACGCUCAUCUGCACGGUGUGGGCAGAGAUAACAUCCUCCCCAGAACAGCAUGGAAAUGUUUCAGCAGGGUGCUCGGCUUAGAUAAGUGCUCGGCAAACCAGAGUUGCCAUCAUGAUUCCCCCACGGCCCUCAAUCCUCUCCUCCCUGCAAAGCGUGCAUCCUUUUUUACCCCAUCUUCCACCCCUCCCAAUUUCCCUUUUGGCCUCAUCUUGGAGGCUGUAAGUCAGGGUGAAUCAUUCAUCAAAAUAUCUCACUCUUCCUCUUCCAGGGUUCCUGAUAUAAUUACCUCCCUCUUCGGUUUUGCUCCUGAUCCCUCUUCUGUUUUUUUCUGUGUGAACUUUAUUUUAACCAUCCUUUGUGUCUGUGAAUGUUUUUUUUUUUU
rnacentral:lncRNA from 1 species